GGCUGGCCGCUUCAAUAAAAGUUGCUACCACCACUGGGUUGCCCUUGAGUUCCUUCCGGGGCAAAGCUAAGAACCCUCCCGGGCUAUGCCUCAAUCUUAGAGCUCGCCUGUCCUGCGGCACUGGGAUCAUCUCCCAGUAAACUAGCCACACUUACACCCAUGUCUCAGGGCCAUUUCUGGAGAAACCAGCCCAGGACACUGUUGAAUAAAACACACAAGAGUCUCUGCGGUCUUCUCCACCCCACCCCACACCGGGCACUGUCAGCUUGAUUCUCCUUUUUAAUUGCCUGUAAGCAGGGUAGCAUAAUGUUUUCACAUCCUUUGUAAGGCCUUUGUUCUACUAAAAUCUAACCUCAGAGCACAAUUUUAAACUAGAUGAGAGAGGAGCUGCACCUGAAGCACUGCAAACCUUCCCCACCAUACGUGUGCACUCACCCUGGACACCCUCACUCUCCCUGACACCCUCACUCCUCACCCUGACACCCUCACUCACCCUGACACCCUCACUCCUCACCCUGACACCCUCACUCCUCACCCUGGACACCCUCACUCACCGCUGACACCCUCACUCACCCUGACACCCUCACUCACCCUGACACCCUCACUCCUCACCCUGACACCCUCACUCACCCUGACACCCUCACUCAUGCUGACACCCUCACUCACCCUGACACCCUCACUCACCCUGACACCCUCACUCCUCACCCUGGACACCCUCACUCACCCUGACACCCUCACUCUCCCUGACACCCUCACCCUGACACCCUCACUCCUCACCCUGGACACCCUCACUCCUCACCCUGGACACCCUCACUCCUCACCCUGGACACCCUCACUCCUCACCCUGA